UACGAAGGGGGCUAGCGUUGCUCGGAAUCACUGGGCGUAAAGCGCACGUAGGCGGACUCUUAAGUCGGUGGUGAAAUCCUGGAGCUCAACUCCAGAACUGCCUUCGAUACUGGGAGUCUCGAGUCCGGGAGAGGUGAGUGGAACUGCGAGUGUAGAGGUGAAAUUCGUAGAUAUUCGCAAGAACACCAGUGGCGAAGGCGGCUCACUGGCCCGGUACUGACGCUGAGGAGCGAAAGCGUGGGGAGCGAACAGG
rnacentral:rRNA from 1 species